rnacentral:rRNA from 1 species
UACGAAGGGGGCUAGCGUUGCUCGGAAUUACUGGGCGUAAAGCGCACGUAGGCGGCUUUCUAAGUCGGGGGUGAAAUCCUGGAGCUCAACUCCAGAACUGCCUUCGAUACUGGAGAGCUCGAGUCCGGGAGAGGUGAGUGGAACUGCGAGUGUAGAGGUGAAAUCGUAGAUAUCGUCAAGAACACCAGUGGCGAAGGCGGCUCACUGGCCCGGUACUGACGCUGAGGUGCGAAAGCGUGGGGAGCAAACAGG